UACGAAGGGGGCUAGCGUUGCUCGGAAUCACUGGGCGUAAAGGGUGCGUAGGCGGGUCUUUAAGUCAGGGGUGAAAUCCUGGAGCUCAACUCCAGAACUGCCUUUGAUACUGAAGAUCUUGAGUUCGGGAGAGGUGAGUGGAACUGCGAGUGUAGAGGUGAAAUUCGUAGAUAUUAGGAAGAACACCAGUGGCGAAGGCGGCUCACUGGCCCGGUACUGACGCUCAUGUGCGAAAGCGUGGGGAGCAAACAGG
rnacentral:rRNA from 1 species